AAAGUACUCUAUCUCUUAUCUAUGGCCCCAGAGAACCAUCCCAAUGCACACAUGCUUAAAAAAUAUUAAAAUCAGGCUGUAUGGAUAACUGGUAACUUGUUUUUUAAUCACUUAUAUUAAUCUAUUCUUAUUCAGUGGUUUUUAAGAAAUAUUUACGUAGCUAAAUAGUAUUCCAUUAUAGUGUCAUCACAUUUUUAAUCUAGUAUUUCUCAGAUUGUAGCUCACAACUCAUUAAUAGGUUAGGUGAGUUGCAAUCAAUACUUUAAAAAUGAAAUUGAGUGUAUUGUAUGUAGUAAGGACAUGUAUUGUCUCAUGAAGCUUUUGUUUCAGAUUAUAUAUAUCUGUAUAUAAACAUGCAAAUGUAUGUUUGGUGUGUGAAUAUAUAUACAAUAGUCAAAAAAUUUUAAAAGCUACCAUGUUUAACAUUCUCCAAAAGCAGGACAUUUUGGUUACUUAUAUUUUUUAUAGUUGUAAGUAAUACUGUAAUGUAUUUUUCUGUGGAUAAUUUUUUUUUUCUUCUGCAUCGGAUUUUAGUUCCCUGACCAGGGAUCAAACGUGGAACCUCAACAGGGAUUGUUCACUCCGGUUGAUACGUACCCGUGUCCUGUAUUACAUGAUACGCACGACACCACUUUUCUCUCUAAACUUUUAGGUCUCAGGCCUGACCUGGGUUGUUCAGUAGCUCUCGGAUGACACUUGCUGCAAACUGUAGGAACUGCAUCUCUUUAAACACUUGGGUUUCUGCGGGGUCUGAGGUGUUAAUGGGUUAGUAAUAACACUAAUCCCAUCAACCUCCCAUGAAAACCAGUUUCACUGUGCCGCCGCACACCACAUUCUUGCUUAAUUGUCGUACAUCUCGGAAUUCUAAGCGAGUUAAUAGACAUUGUCCCGCGACCACACUGUGCUCUGUGCUGCCACCGUGUGGCGAGAGAGGUGUAGGGCGUAAUGCGGUGCCCUGGCCUUGGAAUCAGGCGACCUACAGCUCAGUAACGUUUCUGUGGGUCAUAAGACCUCCCUUACCUAUGCAACUGGUUUGUUAUGUGGCUUAAAUAACGCCUAUGUGACAACUUGUGUAAAUUAUGCAUAAUGCGGGUGUCCUAAGACCUCCUUAGGGACUUACACUCUAGUGGAGUGUAAUAUAAGCAGUAAACGGUAGCGACACAAAAGACCUAUUAUAUGCAUAUGCCAGCGGGAAUACUGCCAGCGGGAAUAACACCACCAGCGAACACUUUGUGGGUAGUGUUACCCUGGGAAAAUUGAGCUCAGCUGGGACCCUCUCCCAGGCUUCCUUCUGAGGGGAAAUCCAUGCCCAUAAACAGGUCCAUUUUAUCCGGGUUUUGAAGAUGAGAAAAUUGAGGCAUAGAAAGGCUCCAUAACUUGCUCAACGUCAUAGGUUCA
ensembl:lncRNA